GUAGUCAUAUGCUUGUCUCAAAGAUUAAGCCAUGCAUGUCUAAGUAUAAGCAACUAUACGGUGAAACUGCGAAUGGCUCAUUAAAUCAGUUAUCGUUUAUUUGAUAGUACCUUACUACAUGGAUAACCGUGGUAAUUCUAGAGCUAAUACAUGCUAAAAACCCCGACUUCGGAAGGGGUGUAUUUAUUAGAUAAAAAACCAAUGCCCUUCGGGGCUCCUUGGUGAAUCAUAAUAACUUAACGAAUCGCAUGGCCUUGCGCCGGCGAUGGUUCAUUCAAAUUUCUGCCCUAUCAACUUUCGAUGGUAGGAUAGUGGCCUACCAUGGUAUCAACGGGUAACGGGGAAU
rnacentral:rRNA from 2 species